GGUUAAGCGACUAAGCGUACACGGUGGAUGCCCUGGCAGUCAGAGGCGAUGAAGGACGUGCUAAUCUGCGAUAAGCGUCGGUAAGGUGAUAUGAACCGUUAUAACCGGCGAUUUCCGAAUGGGGAAACCCAGUGUGUUUCGACACACUAUCAUUAACUGAAUCCAUAGGUUAAUGAGGCGAACCGGGGAACUGAAACAUCUAAGUACCCCGAGGAAAAGAAAUCAACCGAGAUUCCCCCAGUAGCGGCGAGCGAACGGGGAGCAGCCCAGAGCCUGAAUCAGUAUGUGUGUUAGUGGAAGCGUCUGGAAAGGCGCGCGAUACAGGGUGACAGCCCCGUACACAAAAAUGCACAUGCUGUGAGCUCGAUGAGUAGGGCGGGACACGUGGUAUCCUGUCUGAAUAUGGGGGACCAUCCUCCAAGGCUAAAUACUCCUGACUGACCGAUAGUGAACCAGUACCGUGAGGGAAAGGCGAAAAGAACCCCGGCGAGGGGAGUGAAAAAGAACCUGAAACCGUGUACGUACAAGCAGUGGGAGCACGCUUAGGCGUGUGACUGCGUACCUUUUGUAUAAUGGGUCAGCGACUUAUAUUCUGUAGCAAGGUUAACCGAAUAGGGGAGCCGAAGGGAAACCGAGUCUUAACUGGGCGUUAAGUUGCAGGGUAUAGACCCGAAACCCGGUGAUCUAGCCAUGGGCAGGUUGAAGGUUGGGUAACACUAACUGGAGGACCGAACCGACUAAUGUUGAAAAAUUAGCGGAUGACUUGUGGCUGGGGGUGAAAGGCCAAUCAAACCGGGAGAUAGCUGGUUCUCCCCGAAAGCUAUUUAGGUAGCGCCUCGUGAAUUCAUCUCCGGGGUAGAGCACUGUUUCGGCAAGGGGUCAUCCCGACUUACCAACCCGAUGCAAACUGCGAAUACCGGAGAAUGUUAUCACGGGAGACACACGGCGGGUGCUAACGUCCGUCGUGAAGAGGGAAACAACCCAGACCGCCAGCUAAGGUCCCAAAGUCAUGGUUAAGUGGGAAACGAUGUGGGAAGGCCCAGACAGCCAGGAUGUUGGCUUAGAAGCAGCCAUCAUUUAAAGAAAGCGUAAUAGCUCACUGGUCGAGUCGGCCUGCGCGGAAGAUGUAACGGGGCUAAACCAUGCACCGAAGCUGCGGCAGCGACACUAUGUGUUGUUGGGUAGGGGAGCGUUCUGUAAGCCUGUGAAGGUGUGCUGUGAGGCAUGCUGGAGGUAUCAGAAGUGCGAAUGCUGACAUAAGUAACGAUAAAGCGGGUGAAAAGCCCGCUCGCCGGAAGACCAAGGGUUCCUGUCCAACGUUAAUCGGGGCAGGGUGAGUCGACCCCUAAGGCGAGGCCGAAAGGCGUAGUCGAUGGGAAACAGGUUAAUAUUCCUGUACUUGGUGUUACUGCGAAGGGGACGGAGAAGGCUAUGUUGGUAGGGCGACGGUUGUCCCGGUUUAAGCGUGUAGGCUGGUUUUCCAGGCAAAUCCGGAAAAUCAAGGCUGAGGCGUGAUGACGAGGCACUACGGUGCUGAAGCAACAAAUGCCCUGCUUCCAGGAAAAGCCUCUAAGCAUCAGGUAACAUCAAAUCGUACCCCAAACCGACACAGGUGGUCAGGUAGAGAAUACCAAGGCGCUUGAGAGAACUCGGGUGAAGGAACUAGGCAAAAUGGUGCCGUAACUUCGGGAGAAGGCACGCUGAUAUGUAGGUGAGGUCCCUCGCGGAUGGAGCUGAAAUCAGUCGAAGAUACCAGCUGGCUGCAACUGUUUAUUAAAAACACAGCACUGUGCAAACACGAAAGUGGACGUAUACGGUGUGACGCCUGCCCGGUGCCGGAAGGUUAAUUGAUGGGGUUAGCGCAAGCGAAGCUCUUGAUCGAAGCCCCGGUAAACGGCGGUACGUAACUAUAACGGUCCUAAGGUAGCGAAAUUCCUUGUCGGGUAAGUUCCGACCUGCACGAAUGGCGUAAUGAUGGCAAGGCUGUCUCCACCCGAGACUCAGUGAAAUUGAACUCGCUGUGAAGAUGCAGUGUACCCGCGGCAAGACGGAAAGACCCCGUGAACCUUUACUAUAGCUUGACACUGAACAUUGAGCCUUGAUGUGUAGGAUAGGUGGGAGGCUUAGAAGUGUGGACGCCAGUCUGCAUGGAGCCGACCUUGAAAUACCACCCUUUAAUGUUUGAUGUUCUAACGUUGACCCGUAAUCCGGGUUGCGGACAGUGUCUGGUGGGUAGUUUGACUGGGGCGGUCUCCUCCUAAAGAGUAACGGAGGAGCACGAAGGUUGGCUAAUCCUGGUCGGACAUCAGGAGGUUAGUGCAAUGGCAUAAGCCAGCUUGACUGCGAGCGUGACGGCGCGAGCAGGUGCGAAAGCAGGUCAUAGUGAUCCGGUGGUUCUGAAUGGAAGGGCCAUCGCUCAACGGAUAAAAGGUACUCCGGGGAUAACAGGCUGAUACCGCCCAAGAGUUCAUAUCGACGGCGGUGUUUGGCACCUCGAUGUCGGCUCAUCACAUCCUGGGGCUGAAGUAGGUCCCAAGGGUAUGGCUGUUCGCCAUUUAAAGUGGUACGCGAGCUGGGUUUAGAACGUCGUGAGACAGUUCGGUCCCUAUCUGCCGUGGGCGCUGGAGAACUGAGGGGCUGCUCCUAGUACGAGAGGACCGGAGUGGACGCAUCACUGGUGUUCGGGUUGUCAUGCCAAUGGCACUGCCCGGUAGCUAAAUGCGGAAGAGAUAAGUGCUGAAAGCAUCUAAGCACGAAACUUGCCCCGAGAUGAGUUCUCCCUGACUCCUUGAGAGUCCUGAAGGAACGUUGAAGACGACGACGUUGAUAGGCCGGGUGUGUAAGCGCAGCGAUGCGUUGAGCUAACCGGUACUAAUGAACCGUGAGGCUUAACCUU
rnacentral:rRNA from 1 species